rfam:Niastella populi strain 208 contig17, whole genome shotgun sequence.
AUAACCGCCUUUUUCAAGGCGAUCAAAUUAUUUUGAAAAGAACUUU